AGUGAACGCUGGCGGUAGACCUAACACAUGCAAGUCGAACGGCAGCACAGUAAGAGCUUGCUCUUACGGGUGGCGAGUGGCGGACGGGUGCGGAAUACAUCGGAAUCUACUUUUUCGUGGGGGAUAACGUAGGGAAACUUACGCCAAUACCGCAUACGACCUACGGGUGAAAGCAGGGGAUCUUCGGACCUUGCGCGAUUGUAUGAGCCGAUGUCGGAUUAGCUAGUUGGCGGGGUAAAGGCCCACCAAGGCGACGAUCCGUAGCUGGUCUGAGAGGAUGAUCAGCCACACUGGAACUGAGACACGGUCCAGACUCCUACGGGAGGCAGCAGUGGGGAAUAUUGGACAAUGGGCGCAAGCCUGAUCCAGCCAUACCGCGUGGGUGAAGAAGGCCUUCGGGUUGUAAAGCCCUUUUGUUGGGAAAGAAAAGCAGCAGGUUAAUACCCCGCUGUUCUGACGGUACCCAAAGAAUAAGCACCGGCUAACUUCGUG
rnacentral:rRNA from 1 species